CCUACGGGUGGCAGCAGUCGAGAAUCAUUCACAAUGGGGGAAACCCUGAUGGUGCGACGCCGCGUGGGGGAAUGAAGGUCUUAGGAUUGUAAACCCCUGUCAUGUGGGAGCAAAUUAAAAAGAUAGUACCACAAGAGGAAGAGACGGCUAACUCUGUGCCAGAAGCCGCGGUAAUACAGAGGUCUCAAGCGUUGUUCGGAAUCCCUGGGCGUAAAGCGUGCGGUGGCGUGUUCGUAAGUCGGGUGUGAAAGGCGCGGGCUCAACCCGCGGACGGCAGAUGCUACUGGGAGACUAGAGUAAGGGAGGGGGAAGCGGAAUUCGCGGUGUAGCAGUGAAAUGCGUAGAUAUCGAGAGGAACACUCGUGGCGAAGGCGGGUUCCUGGACAUUAACUGACGCUGAGGCACGAAGGCCAGGGGAGCGAAAGGGAUUAGAUACCCUAGUAGUC
rnacentral:rRNA from 1 species